CGGCGGCCAUUGCUGAGCGGCGAGACACGGGCUCCAAACUGGAGGAGCCGCCAAGAACUGCACAGGUCACCGCACCACAAGCAAAAAUGGUAGAGAUACCGGAACCACAGAGAGGAGAAUGUUGAAGAGUGGCGCAGGUCAGAAAGGAAGGAACGACUUUCUGGUUAUCUGCCUGCCUUUUUGAAAAAAGACAUGGGCCGCAUUGGACAGAAGGUGCUUUAAGCUCCACUUACAGAUCCAACUCCCAAUUUUGGAUCCCUGAACUCUGUUGGGUCAUUCUACGUUGUUUCACUUAACCUUCCAAAUCAACACCGAGGCUGACAUCCAAACCAGCUCCUCCUGUGCUUCCUGUUCAUGGAAUAACAGACUGGCUGUCCAAAUAUGGAGGGCACAGAUAGUGAAACAGCACUUUUUUGCACAUUCAGUGCCAACCAUGCAUUUCAUUAACGCUACGGCAGUGAAGCUGGCUACAUUUCUAUGGAGCCGGAGAAAGAUAAUUUGGCUAGUUUUCUAGCUUAUGGCUUGCUCUUUAAUCAAAUUGAAAAAUGUGUUCAGACUCUAUUUUAUUAUUUCCGUUAAGGCGUUUAGCAGCUGUCUUUACAUUUCAUGCAUUGUCUGAGCUGUUUCCACUAAAAUAGCAAAUUGCCUUAGAAGUCUUAAAAGAAUAAUUGAAGUAUUAUAUUCAAACUGAUUGGUUGCAGUAGGAAAAUACUUUGAUCAGGGUAAUUUUCCUUUUGAGUUUCUGCUCUACAUCGGUGGCCUAGAUCAGAAAUGCAGAUCUUUCUAUAUAUGUUAUAGACAACAUGUCACACUGCUGUGAUUGAGCCCUUGCAUCAUGUCUUUCUCUCUCCCAUCAUUCAGCCACUACAACAACACUUUAUUGAAGCUUGCUCUUUACUAGAGGGCUACAUACUUGUGCCUUAAAGUACUAAAAUACAACAUUACAAACCAAGCCAGGCUCGUCUUGUGUAAAAUAAAUACAUAUUUGUCUAAAUGAUAAGUAAGGCUAUGAUUUAGUUUUUGUAUUAUUUAUACAUGCAUUUUUCUAAAGAAAAUGGUAAAACAACUAUUGAAGCAUAUAAUCCCUGCUUUGCUUUGUUAGGUUUUUGACAGUUUAAGUAUUACUUAUGUAUAGAAAAGACAUAUAAUAGAUAUUAAUUUAUUAAUUUAUAUUAAUUUAUAUUAAAGGUGCUUAAAAAAAGUAGCAGCCAGUUGCAGGUUUAUUUGUUUUGCUAUGUGACUUUUUGGUAGAGCUAGCUGCCUGACAAGACCUCCUCUUUGGAUUCCCUGCAAUGCUGUUUAUUGUAGUAGUGAUGGAGUUGUCCAUUGGCCCAGUAUAUUAUGCUUUUAUAUAGAGAAAAGAACCUUACUAAAUGAAUGCCUGUACAGAGUAUGAGUGUACAUACUAUCACAAUACAUAAUUUGAUAAUUGAAUAUUAUAGAAUUUUUUAUAUAUUCAAGCCCAUGUUGAUAGUUAUUCAAACUGUCUGCAGAUGACUAGUCCUUGUUUAUUACAGAGGUGGAAAUUUGACCCUGUGCCUCUGGUGCAUUUGGCAGAAUGAGAAACAAAGAAUGUCUGGUUGACUCUGCAUUUCAAGCGAGGCCCCGGAAAUUCUUGAUGUUUAUCUACAUGAAACGCAGCCAGCAGCAUUUUAUGAACAGUUGCCUUGAAGAAGCUGGAAAACAAAAUUUAUUUUGGUUUCACAGCUUGUCGUGUUUUCUAAAAGAGAUAUCAAAACCAUAGAUGUGAAUUAAGAAAUAACAGGCAAUAGGUAUGGUAACAAGUCUUAUUCAUUCAGCUCCAUGAAAAUGGAGGUGUACUUUCCCGUAAUCAUUUAUGCAGCAGCUUUCUGUACACGUGUCCCGUGACAUGUUUCUAAGACCAUGAUUUUUAGUUAAUUGAAUAUUUACCUAAUUUCUCUUUGCGGUUUAAAUGAUUCAGAUGCUGGUUUUGGAUAUUCUGCUUUUCAUUACGUUCUCAUGUUUUAUUUUUUUACAUAGCAGAUUAUGUUUAUCUACUUAUUAAAGUGACUCCCAGACACAUUACCUCACGUUUAGUACAGUAGCAAAGUCUGCCAUUAUACUGCCAUCAGGGGCGAUCCUGCCCAAUUUGCCACCCCAAGACGGCCUUAGUUUUUGCCGCCCCCCCCCCCCGCCUCUCACCUUCAGCGUUGGACGGGUCAACGUCGCUAGUGCAGAGAGCGCAAUUGCACUCUCUGCACAAGAAGAGCCAAAUUUCCGGGUUGCUGCCCCUGGCAACCAGGGGGACGCUGCCGUCUGAGCAAGUGCAUCAACUCGCCUCAUUGGCGGAGCGCCCCUGAGCGCCAUUGAAAUUCCACAUUACUUUGUUAAAGGAUAAAUAUAUCUUGUAUUAGUUUUAGGAAAUAAAAACUAAUAAUGCUUUUAGCACCUGUAGGCAUCUGAAGGCAUUUUGUCUGUGGCUCUUCCAACGCAUGUAUUGCUGAGACAAAACAUCGGAAAUUGUCUCUUAAGAUAUCAUGUGUAGUGUCCUUAAUAUAAUAUUUCAGUAGGCAACUUGGCAAGUUACACAAUAUAGUGCAAUUGUGGAUAGUGGUAUAAAUGCACAACUGUAAUGUACACAUGUUAUCCUUGAAAAAGGACCAAAUGUGAGCCGAAAUGUCAGAUUUAUGUACUUAAUAAAAUCAAUUAUCGAAACAAAGAAUUGGAGUGCGGGUCUUUACACCAAAUCUGUAUAUGAAACUAUUUGACCCACAACAUGUUGAUGCAAAUCCGGUUCUCAGAGUGCACACACACACCUCAUGUAAAAUGGUACAGUGCCUGGGUGCAAAGCUGUAAAAAUAGUAUGCAGGCUCAAUGGAAGCUCGCAUACACAAGACUUAUGCAGAAAAAAGGUGUUUAUUGAACAAAAAAGAACUGACGUUUCUGCUAGAUCCCUAGCCUUUCUGAAAGUGCCCAAGUGUAAAAGCAGCAACCAUUUUAAAACACCAGUGGGUGGAAGGGAGCAUAAGUGACGUCACAAAAACAACAUUGACGUAGGAACUAAUUACAGAACGUGUAAACAUCCAUAAAAACAAUUUAAAAAGGCAAAACAAAGAAAUCAAUAAUAAACAGAGUAUCGAUAGCAUAUUAGUGACAAUCAGGAAGUGUAUAUACAAUGUUGCAAUAAGUACUGAUUAGCUGAUCAUAUCAGCAGACCGUUUGAAAUCCGGAGCAACGUGUUAAAGACAAAUACAUUAUGUUACCUUAUAAUUAAUAUCAUAGAUCAUGUCGCCCUGUAAUGUCAGACAGUGGGAUAUGUGGUCAGAGGUUCUAAGACACCCUAAAUAUAUAUUAAACAAGACAUCGUGGCUGUCAGAUAUUUGUGUAGCGUCAGGACCAUUAAGCUAGAAGGAGGAUAUAGAGAAGUGUAGUAACGGAAAAUACCCAUAGGUAAGUUUCAUGUAGAUGGUUUCUUGUGGCCGUGUGAGUAUAGAGGCGGGGGAAGCGCCAUGUCACUGCCAGAGGAAUCUGCAUCCAGAGUCGGUGUGGUUCCCUCAAUAGGUGGCAAUGUUCGGGAACCGUAUCGGAUGUAGGGCCACCAGGUGGGUGCAUGUUGGUUUGUGGCAGGGAGACGGGUCAGUACUGUGUCGCUAAGGGACAAUGACAUGGCAACAUAUACCGUACACUAAUUUGUUAACUACUGUAUUAUGGUUGUUACAAAUCUUCUAACCGUUCCAAGACAUACUGUGUUGCAUUUAUGUUUUUUACUAGUUUAUUUCACUUUUCAAUAAAAAAAACCCCAUUAAACUGUAGAUUUAAUGCUCAUAAAAUUCAUAUUCAUAAAAUUACUGUUUUCAGAUUAUAAAAAUGGUUUCCUUGUACCUGUCAGUUCAUAAAGUAUGCUGCAGAUUUCAUUCACACCUGUACUUCCUGUUUUGUCAAUGGUCAUUUUUUUUCCCCCCACAAAAUAAAAAUAUUUUCCAGGUGGCUGUGAAUGUUCUAUGGCUGUAGGUUUAUUUUGUUUUUUUCAAAGUCUU